GACGAACGCUGGCGGCGUGCCUAAUACAUGCAAGUCGAACGCAGUGGGGACGGGUGAGUAACACGUGGGUAACCUCCCAUCAGAGGGGAUAACACUUGGAAACAGGUGCUAAACCGAUACUGAUGGAUGGACCCGGGGUGCAUUAGCUAGGUGGUGAGGUAACGGCGCACCAAGGCACCGAGGCAUUGCAGACCGUAUAGGGUGAUCGGCCAAAAUUGGACUGAGACACGGCCCAGACUCCUACGGGAGGCAGCAGUGGGGAAUCUUCCGCAAUGGACGAAAGUCUGACCGAGCAACGCCGCGUGAGUGAAGAAGGUUUUCGGAUCGUAAAACUCUGUUGUUAGAGAAGCGGUAUCUAACCAGAAAGCCACGGCUAACUACGUGCCAGCAGCCGCGGUAAUUC
rnacentral:rRNA from 1 species